GGGUUGUGAGGUUAAGCGACUAAGCGUACACGGUGGAUGCCCUGGCAGUCAGAGGCGAUGAAGGGCGUGCUAAUCUGCGAUAAGCGCCGGUAAGGUGAUAUGAACCGUUAUAACCGGCGAUACCCGAAUGGGGAAACCCAGUGUGAUUCGUCACACUAUCAUUAACUGAAUCCAUAGGUUAAUGAGGCGAACC
rnacentral:rRNA from 1 species